rnacentral:SRP_RNA from 1 species
GAAUCCCCGCCCGCGGACCGCGAUCGUGAGAAUGCCUCGUAGCGAGGACGUCGAAGGCCAGGUCUUGCGCAACGCCAACCUGUGAACCCCGUCAGGUCCGGAAGGAAGCAGCGGUAAGCGGGCGCUGGCGUGUGCCGCGAGGUUGCCGGGCCGGAGCCCAGCGCGCGAGAAGCGCUCGUGGUCACGGGACAACGGCGGGUGCACGG